rnacentral:rRNA from 1 species
GACAACAGGGAUUGCCCCAGUAACGGCGAGUGAAGCGGCAAUAGCUCAAAUUUGAAAUCUGGCUCUUUCAGGGUCCGAGUUGUAAUUUGCAGAGGGCGCUUUGGCGUCGGCAGCAGCCUAAGUUCCUUGGAACAGGUCAUCAUAGAGGGUGAGAAUCCCGUAUGUGGCUGCUUGUCUUCACCGUGUAAAGCCCCUUCGAUGAGUCGAGUUGUUUGGGAAUGCAGCUCUAAAUGGGAGGUAAAUUUCUUCUAAAGCUAAAUAUUGGCCAGAGACCGAUAGCGCACAAGUAGAGUGAUCGAAAGAUGAAAAGCACUUUGGAAAGAGAGUCAAAAAGCACGUGAAAUUGUUGAAAGGGAAGCGCUUGCAGCCAGACGUGCCCGCAGUUGCUCAUCCGGGGUUCUCCCCGGUGCACUCUUCUGUGGGCAGGCCAGCAUCAGUCCGGGCGGUUGGAGAAAGACCUGUGUCAUGUAGCUCUCUUCGGGGAGUGUUAUAGGGCAGGUGGAAUGCAACCAGCCUGGACUGAGGUCCGCGCAUCUGCUAGGAUGCUGGCGUAAUGGCUGUAAGCGGCCCGUCUUGAAACACGGACCAAGGAGUCUAACAUCUAUGCGAGUGUUUGGGUGUCAAGCCCGAGCGCGUAAUGAAAGUGAACGGAGGUGGGAACCCCUCGGGGUGCACCAUCGACCGAUCCUGAUGUCUUCGGAUGGAUUUGAUUAAGAGCAUAGCUGUUGGGAGCCGAAAGAUGGUGAACUAUGCCUGAAUAGGCUGAGGCCAAAGAAAACUCU